UGUCUCUGUGGUGUGUUUGUGUAUGGUCUGUGUGGCAUGCAUGUGUAUGGUGUGUGUCUGUUGUGUGUCUGGUGUUUGGUGUGUGUAUGUGUGUUUUGUGUGUGUGGUGUAUACGUGUGUGGUGUGUGUGUGGGUGUGAAGUAUGUGUGUAGUGUGUGUGGUGUGUGUGUGGUGUGUGCAUGUUUGUGGUGGCUGUGUGUCCAGUGUGUGUGUGUGUGGUGUAUCUGUGCAUGUGUGUGGUGUGUGCGCUUGUGUGUCCUUUGUGUCUGGUGUGUGUGGUGUACGUAUGGUGUGCGUGUAGGUGUGUAGUGUGUGUGUGUUUGGUGUUGGUGUGUGUGGUGUGCAUGUGUGUGGUGUGUGCGCUUGUGUGUCCAGUGUGUGUGUAUGGUGUAUGUGUGUCUGGUUUGUGUGGGGUGUGUGCGUGUGUGUGUGUGGUGUAUGCAUGUGUGUGUCGUGUGUGGUGCAUGUGUGUG
rnacentral:lncRNA from 1 species